CCCCUUAGAUGUACUUUAAUUACAUGCAAGUCGAGCGAUGGAUUAAGAGCUUGCUCUUAUGAAGUUAGCGGCGGACGGGUGAGUAACACGUGGGUAACCUGCCCAUAAGACUGGGAUAACUCCGGGAAACCGGGGCUAAUACCGGAUAACAUUUUGAACCGCAUGGUUCGAAAUUGAAAGGCGGCUUCGGCUGUCACUUAUGGAUGGACCCGCGUCGCAUUAGCUAGUUGGUGAGGUAACGGCUCACCAAGGCAACGAUGCGUAGCCGACCUGAGAGGGUGAUCGGCCACACUGGGACUGAGACACGGCCCAGACUCCUACGGGAGGCAGCAGUAGGGAAUCUUCCGCAAUGGACGAAAGUCUGACGGAGCAACGGCCGCGUGAGUGAUGAAGGCUUUCGGGUCGUAAAAACUCUGUUGUUAGGGAAGAACAAGUGCUAGUUGAAUAAGCUGGGCACCUUGACGGUACCUAACCAGAAAGCACGGCUAACUACGUGCCAGCAGCCGCGGUAAUACGUAGGUGGCAAGCGUAUCCGGAAUAUUGGCGUAAGCGCGCGCAGGUGGUUCUAAGUCUGAUGUGAAGCCCACGGCUCAACCGUGGAGGGUCAUUGGAAACUGGGAGACUGAGUGCAGAGAGGAA
rnacentral:rRNA from 1 species